rnacentral:rRNA from 1 species
AGAGUUUGAUCAUGGCUCAGGACGAACGCUGGCGGCGCGCCUAAAACAUGCAAGUCGAACGAGAAGCCCGGGCUUGCCCGGGUGGACAGUGGCGAACGGGUGAGUAACACGUGAGGAACCUGCCCCGAAGACCGGGACAACACCGGGAAACCGGUGCUAAUACCGGAUACCUUCACCGGAUCGCAUGGUCUGGUGAAGAAAUGGAUUCCGCUUCGGGAUGGCCUCGCGGCCUAUCAGCUAGUUGGUGAGGUAACGGCUCACCAAGGCGACGACGGGUAGCUGGUCUGAGAGGAUGUCCAGCCACACUGGGACUGAGACACGGCCCAGACUCCUACGGGAGGCAGCAGUUAGGAAUCUUGCGCAAUGGACGAAAGUCUGACGCAGCGACGCCGCGUGCGGGAUGAAGGCCUUCGGGUUGUAAACCGCUUUCAGCAGGGACGAAAUUGACGGUACCUGCAGAAGAAGCCCGGCCUAACUACGUGCCAGCAGCCGCGGUA